rnacentral:tRNA from 1 species
GCGGCCUUGGUCUAAUGGUUAGGAUUUCGUGCUUCCACCACGAAGGCCCGUGUUCAAUUCACGGAGGUCGCA